AACGCGAAGAACCUUACCUAAGCUUGACAUCCUUUUGACCGAUGCCUAAUCGCAUCUUUCCCUUCGGGGACAGAAGUGACAGGUGGUGCAUGGUUGUCGUCAGCUCGUGUCGUGAGAUGUUGGGUUAAGUCCCGCAACGAGCGCGACCCUUGCCUUUAGUUGCCAGCAUUAAGUUGGGCACUCUAGAGGGACUGCCAGGGAUAACCUGGAGGAAGGUGGGGAUGACGUCAAAUCAUCAUGCCCCUUAUGCUUAGGGCUACACACGUGCUACAAUGGGUGGUACAGAGGGCAGCCAAGUCGUGAGGCCGAGCUAAUCCCUUAAGGCCAUUCUCAGUUCGGAUUGUAGGCUGAAACUCGCCUACAUGAAGCUGGAGUUACUAGUAAUCGCAGAUCAGAAUGCUGCGGUGAAUGCGUUCCCGGGUCUUGUACACACCG
rnacentral:rRNA from 1 species